rnacentral:rRNA from 1 species
UGGGGAAUUUUGGACAAUGGGGGAAACCCUGAUCCAGCCAUCCCGCGUGUGCGAUGAAGGCCUUCGGGUUGUAAAGCACUUUUGGCAGGAAAGAAACGUCGCGGGUUAAUACCCCGCGAAACUGACGGUACCUGCAGAAUAAGCACCGGCUAACUACGUGCCAGCAGCCGCGGUAAUACGUAGGGUGCAAGCGUUAAUCGGAAUUACUGGGCGUAAAGCGUGCGCAGGCGGUUCGGAAAGAAAGAUGUGAAAUCCCAGAGCUUAACUUUGGAACUGCAUUUUUAACUACCGGGCUAGAGUGUGUCAGAGGGAGGUGGAAUUCCGCGUGUAGCAGUGAAAUGCGUAGAUAUGCGGAGGAACACCGAUGGCGAAGGCAGCCUCCUGGGAUAACACUGACGCUCAUGCACGAAAGCGUGGGGAGCAAACAGGAUUAGAUACCCUGGUAGUCCACGCCCUAAACGAUGUCAACUGGUUGUUGGGUCUUAAUUGACUCAGUAACGAAGCUAACGCGUGAAGUUGACCGCCUGGGGGAGUACGGCCGCAAGGUUGAAACUC